GUGAGGGAGAGCGAUUCAUCUUCAUUCCCCAUCAGGCCACAGCAUGAAGACCACGGCAGCAGACAAGGCGUGGACAUGUCCUAUCUGCCGUGACGUGCAAAAGGACAUUGCCUAUGCAGUGCUGUGCCAUCACGAGUUCUGCCUCAGCUGCAUCCUGCGGCGGGCCAAGCAGAGAGACCUGCCUGCUCUGCAGGAGAGUCAUGCCAGUCAUUAAGGUUGCUGCAUGGGACAAUGAGGACGACCUGGAUUUCAUCACCUGUCCCCCAGCACCACCACUACCUGCCUGCUUCCAGGCAGGCAUUGCUCAUAUGUACAGCCCCCAUAGCUGUGCACCAUCACCUCCACCAUUUCUGAUGCUGCCAGAGGAGCAGAAGGAUAUGGAGGCAGAGGAGGGGCCUAUGGUGUGCGGUCUCCUGCUGGAGGUCUGAGCAGCAGACCGGUUCAGGCAGCACCGGGAGAUCCUCAACCCUGUGCCGCCAUGGCUGCGCCAGGAGCUGCGAGCCAUCUUUGGGACACAGUGGUGGGAGGCAAUGGCAGAAGAGACCCUCAUCCUGAACACCCUGUGUGGCUGCAGUGACAUCACUGAGCAACAGACUGUGAUGCCACCAAGCUUUGGGCGCUGGCAGGGCCUGGCCCAGUCAGUCUCGUGCCUGGACUCCUGCCGAGCGAGUGUGUGAGGCUUGGAGGUGGAGCGAGGAUUUUGCUCGUGUGUUGGGCUGUGCUUUGGGGACUGCUGGCAGCUGCUUUCAGUGCCCAUCCCUACAGCCAUCACCUGUAAUCCCCUGGCCUGCCUGGCUCAGGCAGCCGGGGCCCCACAAAGUGCACGUGCAGCAGCACAGGUGAGCCGGGUGAGAAUACAUCCCACAGGGUGGCAAUGGGGUAAUCGAAGGAACAAGGGGAGCUGCCAGGGCCAGGGCUGAAGUCUGACCCAGCGAGGGUGUGGGGCAUGCGGCAACACAGGAGUGGGUCAGGGAGGAUAGACUGCUGAGGGACCCAGGGGAAGUUCCUGUUGGAUAUCAAGAAAAAACUUAUAAAGAGUGGCAAUGCAUUGGAACAGUCUGCACAGGGAAGUCGUGGUGUCACCAUUUCUCGAGGCCAGGGAUCAAGAAAGAUGUAGGGGUGACACUGAGGGACAUGGCUUAGCCGACAUGGUGGUGAUGGGUUGAUGGUUGGAUCAGAUGAAGUCAGAAAUCUUUUACAACCUUAACGAUUCUAUAGUUUUAUGACCAGGACAUUUCUUCUAUCUGUUCCUGGGACAAAGAAUGACCAUGAUCUCUCUCCCUCUUGCAGUGCUCAACUUUCACCACUGAGGCACUGGUGAGGAAGAACAGUUCAUCUUCAUUCCCCAUCAGGCCACAGCGUGAAGACCAUGGCAGCAGAGGAGGAGUGGACAUGUCCCAUCUGCCGUGACGUGCAAAAGGACAUUGCCUACGCAGUGCCGUGCCGUCACGAGUUCUGCCUCGGCUGCAUCCUGCGGUGGGCCAUGCAGAAAGAGACCUGCCCGCUCUGCAGGAGGAUAAUGACAGUCGUUAAGGUUGCUGCGUGGGAUGACGAGGACGACCUGGAUUUCACCAUCUCUCCCCCAGCACCACCAUUACCUGCCUGCUUCCAGGCUGGCAUCGCCUACAUCUACCGCCGCCAGCAUGAUGUGCCAUCCCCUCCAGAGGAGCAGGAGGAUAUGGAGGCAGAGGAGGGGCCUAUGGUGGGCGGUCUCCUGCUGGAGGUCUGGGCAGCCCUGUUCAGGCAGCACCCGGAGAUCCUCGACCCUGUGCUGCCAUGGCUGCGCCAGGAGCUGCGAGCCAUCUUUGGGACACAGUGGUGGGAGGCAAUGGCAACAGAGAACCUCAUCCUGAACACCCUGUGUAACAUCGGGCUGGACACCGAGGCCCUGACCCAGCUGCUGCGGCCUGCCCUGGGGGACAGAGCGGAGACGCU
rnacentral:lncRNA from 1 species